rnacentral:rRNA from 1 species
UUUCCUUUAGAAUAUAUUUAAAGGUAAUACCUGCUCUAUGUUAUUAAUAAAUGGCUGCGGUAUCUUAACUGCACUAAGGUAGCAUAAUUAAUUGUCUUUUAAAUGGUGACUUGUUUGAAUGGUUUUAUGAGAAAAAGACUUUCUCCACCCUAAUAUGAAAUUAUAUUUAAAGGUUAAAAUACCUUAAUAUAAAGGAAAGACGAGAAGACCCUGUUGAGUUUAACAAAUAAAUUAAUUGUUUAAAUGGGAUAUUCGAUUUCAGUAUGGAAUCUAAAAGAUCCUAAAACCUAAAGUUUUAGAAAAAGGAUAAAAUUACCACAGGGAUAACAGGAUAAUACUUAUUGAGAGUCCUAAUCGAAAUAAGUGAUUAUUACCUCGAUGUUGAAUCGAAUAUUACUAAUUGACGCAGCAGUUAAGAUAGUGGGUCUGUUCGACCUUUAAAUAUUCACGUGAUUU